AGAGUUUGAUCAUGGCUCAGAACGAACGCUGGCGGCAUGCCUAACACAUGCAAGUCGAACGCUUUUGGGGUUUCGGCCCCAAGGGAGUGGCGCACGGGUGAGUAGCGCGUGGGAACCUGCCCUGUUGUGGGGGAUAACCGAGGGAAACUUCGGCUAAUACCGCAUACGCCCCCGGACUUGGUCUUCGGAUUAGGUUUGGGGGGAAAGAUUUAUCGCAGCAGGAGGGGCCCGCGUCGGAUUAGCUAGUUGGCGGGGUAACGGCCCACCAAGGCAGUGAUCCGUAGCUGGUCUGAGAGGAUGAUCAGCCACACUGGGACUGAGACACGGCCCAGACUCCUACAGGAGGCAGCAGUGGGGAAUAUUGGACAAUGGGCGCAAGCCUGAUCCAGCAAUGCCGCGUGAGUGAUGAAGGCCUUAGGGUUGUAAAGCUCUUUCGCCCGCGACGAUGAUGACGGUAGCGGGAGAAGAAGCCCCGGCUAACUUCGUGCCAGCAGCCGCGGUAAUACGAAGGGGGCGAGCGUUGUUCGGAUUUACUGGGCGUAAAGGGCGCGUAGGCGGCCCUCCUUGUCGCGUGUGAAAGCCCCGGGCUCAACCUGGGAAUUGCGCGCGAAACGGGGGGGCUUGAGUUCGGGAGAGGAGCGUGGAAUUCCCAGUGUAGAGGUGAAAUUCAGAUAUUGGGAAGAACACCGGUGGCGAAGGCGGCGCUCUGGACCGAGACUGACGCUGAGGCGCGAAAGCGUGGGGAGCAAACAGGAUUAGAUACCCUAGUAGUCC
rnacentral:rRNA from 1 species